UGGGGAAUCUUGCACAAUGGACGAAAGUCUGAUGCAGCAACGCCGCGUGGGGGAUGAAGCUUCUCGGAGUGUAAACCCCUUUCGACCCGGAAGAAUGCCCGCAAGGGUUUGACGGUACGGGUAUAAGAAGCCCCGGCUAACUACGUGCCAGCAGCCGCGGUAAUACGUAGGGGGCCAGCGUUGCUCGGAAUUACUGGGCGUAAAGGGUCCGUAGGCGGUGCGGCAAGUCGAGAGUGAAAUCCCUAGGCUUAACCUAGGGGCUGCUAGCGAAACUGCCGUGCUAGAGUGUGAGAGAGGCGAGUGGAAUUACGGGUGUAGCGGUGAAAUGCGUAGAUAUCCGUAGGAACAUCCGAGGCGAAAGCGGCUCGCUGGAUCACAACUGACGCUGAGGGACGAAAGCUAGGGGAGCAAACAGG
rnacentral:rRNA from 1 species